CCUGUGAUCAUGGUUUUGGUCACAUAGCUUCCAACAAGCCCCCCCCCACCUCUGAGGAUGCACCCCAAAGCUAGAGAAUUCCUGCUCUGAGCCAUCUCUGAAAGCACCAAGAGCCAGGGCCAGGGAAGCUGGGCUGGAGGAAGCUGUCUGGGAGCCCAGGAGGCAAGCAGAAAACCGCCAGGACCGCCCCACGCUGGGGGAGCAGCAGGCACGGCCCCUACCAACACCCCCUGGCACCUCGCAAAGCUAGAGCCCGCCCGGUCCCCUCCCCGGAGCGCCCUGGUCUUUGGUUCGUAUUCAGCACAUCUUCAGAAACAGUGAUAGAAAAAUGCUGGUUUCUGACUCCACCAGCUCACGGAGGAGAUGCCAGCUCACGGAGGAAAAUCUGGAAGGUGUUGAAGCAUAGACGCUGGAACAUAAAAUGACUCAUGAUCUCACUGGGAGAAGGGCUGGGAACAUCGUGGGCUCUCUUCUCCCCGCGCUCCUCUCUCCGGGUCUCUGUUUCCCUCAUUCCACGAUGUUUAGAACCAUCGGCGCACUACAUCAGACUAGAGGUCUGGGGUCACCCGACCAUCCCGCCACAAGCCCCUCCGAGGCAUCACUGUGUCCAGAUUUUGCAAACUGCACCUCCUGAAGGGGCUGGGGUCUGUCCACUUCGCCCCAUCUGCCGUGGCAGCACUUCCUCCGUGGUUCGCACCCCCACAGCAGCCUCCUGGGAAGGCACCUCCCUGGGGCCCCUCUCAGUCCACGGUGUGGAUAUGGCAGCAAGCUAUGCAUUUUGCAUAUAUUAGCAAAUCCAUGAGGCAGGUGCUGUCUUCAUUGUACAGGUGAGGAGCCUGAAGCUCAGAGAGGUGAAGGAACAUCCUCAAGGCCACGCUCUGAAAUCAACAAAAGAUACAUCAGUUUAUUGUGGGAAACAUCAGAACAUGCAGAGAUAUUAACAAAGAGAAGUCACUCAGAGAUGACUGUCAUUAACAUUUUGGUGUAUUUCUUCGUAGACAUUUUCCUAUGUCUCUGCAUAGUAACAUACUGUCCAGAGUGCUUGUAAUCUGCUAGACGGUUUGAUGAGACCAAGUUUUCAUGGUAUUAGCCACGGCAAUAUUUGUAUUCAUAUUUUAGGGUAUGGCUGAACUGAAAUUUGCUUUUGCUCAACUCAGCCCCUCUUGUGAACAUUAGGCACUUUGCACUUCACCUGCUGAAAACGUGGUAGUCAUAAACACGCUGGUAGCUCAAUCGUCCCACCUAUCUUUACUAUGUUAUUCAUUCCUAGCAGUGGGGCCUGGGUCAAAAGUUCUGCAGGGUUUUAAGGCUUUGGAUCAGUGGUUCGGGAUUGUCCUCUGGGACGGGCUGAGAAGCACACAUGCCUGCCGGUGGUGACAAGCAUUCCUUCCUAGUGCAGAGUCAGGUCUGCACCUGGCACCCCCUACCCAUCCAGGUUGGGUCCCUGGCAUUCAGUUAUGUGGAACAGACCAGAAAAAUUAAAAAAGAACCCCCUCCCGCAUCUUCCCCGAAGGACCACUGGCCUGCUGUCUCUCCCCGCACUCCCCCACUGGAGUUCAUACCCACUGAAUCACGACCCCCUUGUGGCUAAGCCCUGGUGCGCCACCCUGCAAAAUCAAAGGUGGUGUCUAGGCACAGAAAUGGCUCCGUGACCUAUGUCCCCUUUGUUCUAAUCUAGAAUCCAGCCAGGAGUAUGCGUGUCAGAAGCCAGGGGUGAUUGUGUUUUUUCUCCUUCCUCUUUCUUUAGGUCAGGAAGAUUCCUGCAGCUGCUGAGUUAGUACUUUUAAGAAAGUACUGGAUUCCCUCUCACAAUGGGACUUUGAUUUUUUUAAGAAAAAGGUUUCAUAAGUUUUCAAAUAACCUGGAGCAGUUGAGCAAACUUAAUGUGCAGCGUGGUCCCUGCUGGCUGGGUUUGAGGGGCUGGGUCUCUCUGAGUGGAUGCUGGUGAGGUGCAGAGGAAGAAGAAAAGGUGCCUGAGGGCCUGUGUGGAAGGCCUGUCACACAGCACAUCCUGGGAAAUCUGUCCAGGAAGCAGCCAGGCGGGCAUCAGCCAGGCGGGCAUCAGCAUCUUCACUGUGCAGAUGAGAAACUGAGGCCGCAGAGGUGAAGGGACAUGCCCAGGAUCACUAAGGUGAUCCCUAGAAACACAGCCAGUGGCCCGGAAGCUGCACUGUUUUGUGCACCGCAGGGAUGGGCACAGAUGGGGCUGCCUGCCCUCCUCCUGGAAGGAGGGAGAACCCAGUCUGGCCUGGAGUGGUCAAGAGCUAACUCUAGACUCAGCAAGACCUACUUCUCUCUCCUGCCCCUACUUCCUUGCUGCUGACCUGGGCAAGUCGCUGAAGCCUCUCCGUGCCUCAGUCUGCUCGUGCGUAAGAUGGGCACAGGGCACACUGCCUACUUGAUUGGGCUCAACCACGUGCAGUAAGUAGCUGGUGUCUGGCAAGAGCCCUCAGGAAACAGUAACCCCAUUAAUUCAAAUGCACGUGCCUGGAACAGGCUCUGGGGGGCCAGCCCGGGAGUCCCACUCCAUGAUGGCCACCCUGGGGCCUGGCAGGCUGGGCUGGCAUCCCAGGCCCACCGGAUACUGGCUGUGCACCCCGGCCAGGCCACACAUCUCUGAGCCUCACUUUCCCGUGUGUGAGAUGAGGCUAGAAGCUGCUUUCUCUUGCGUGUGUGGGGAUUGGCGGUGACAACACGGCCAGGAGCCCAGGCCCAGCCUACGCGAGCAGCCUCGCUCCAGGCCACACGCCCCACUCCUGACAGCUCUGUGCAGCGAGUUCGUGCGCGAGCGGGUGGCUGUCUGCCAGGCGAGGGGCGCGGGUGCCCAAGAGGGCUUCACUGCUUCUGGAAAGAUCACAAGGAAAAACCACCUCCGCGGCGGGACGCUACCCGCGGGCCGCUGCGGUCCCGCUCGCGGCCGGCAGGGGGCAGGAUGUCCCCGCGAGUCGCCCGUGUCUUCGGGUGUCCUCAGGUCACCCCGCACCGCUCGCAGCCUCCGCGCCUAGUUAAAGGGCGACGCACUCAUUUCUGCAAAGAAGGAGCCCAGCGGCCCCUCCCCGGGGAACUCUUUCCAUCAACUCGGGGCCUAAUAAUUUACAUUUAAUUUGUUAGCGGUUUAAUGUUUAAUUUUAAAAGCGAGAUGAUUCAUUACCAUAUUAAUAAAUAAUAACAUUUAUUAUUCUCCUAAUGAGUGUCCAAAAUACAGAAGCAAUUACAUGUUUUAUAUAUUUUCUCGUAAUUUGAGACACCAGAGCGUUAAUUACAGAGACUCACGCGUGGACCCCAUUCUGAUCCAGGGUCCUGAUCCUGCCUUUGUUUCGGUCUCUGAACCAGCCGCCCUCCGGGGCUUCUGCAAUUCCCUCAAUUAGAGGAGAGGAAGUCGUACGUGACGAAGCUGGGGCUCUCACAGAACCCCGGCGCCCCAGACCCAGGAGCUGCAAGACCUCAGCUCCCCGUGCCCACACUCGGAGACCCAGGCCCCUCCCAGUCCCCCGUCUCCUCUGUGCAGGGUUCUUCAGGAAGAAUCGGAAAGAGGCCCCCCGACCCACAACCAGCCUCGCAUUCCCUCCUCCCGCAGGGAUCCAUUGAGCUGGGGGGUGGGACUAUCCUCACUUCACAGAUGGGGAAACUGAGUCCUGGAGAGAGACGCUCCGGUGUCCUCAGCUGGUGAGGGGCAGAUCCGGGAGCCACGUCCCACGCAGUCGGUUGGCCCCAAGCUUGGUUCCUGCCUCAACCCCAGCGCAGGUUGCAGCAGGCCCGCGUAGGAGGGCGGCCUGGGUCUGGACAGAUCCACAGCCGGCCAACGCCCCUGGCUAGCUCUCUAUGGCUUUGCUUCUUCUCUUGACUUGCCAAGUUCUUCUUGUUCAUUGUAGAAAAUGUGGAAGGUGAGGCCGGGAGCGGUGGCUCACGCCUGUAAUCCUAGCACUUUGGGAGGCCGAGGCGGGCAGAUUGCCUGAGCUCAGGAGUUCGAGACCAGCCUGGGCAACAUGGUGAAACACGUCUCUACUAAAAAAAAAAAAAAAAAAAAAAAAAAAAUUUGCUGGGCGUGACGGCAGGCGCCUGUAGUCCCAGUGGGAGUUUGGGGAGGCUGAGGCAGGAGAAUCACUUGAACCCGGGAAGCAGAGAUUGCAGUGAGCCGAGAUCGUGCCACUGCACUCCAAUCUAGCGACAGAGCAAGACUCCGUCUCAAAAAAAAAAAAAAAAAAAAAAGUGGAAGGUGAAAAAAACACGGAGAGACAGCAAAGCUGGCAAUGACAUAGCUCCAAAAAUCCCACUUCUCAGAUAAGAUGCAGGCAGUAAGGGCCUGGAGUUUUAUGUAUCCUGAUGUUUGAAAGGGCUUGGACAGGGCACUUCCUCCCUCCAUAGCUCUUCUGUCCUUAGGAAUCCCUCCCUUCUGGAGGGGAAGGGUGGGGGUUUUCCUGUUUGGUCCCCAGGGAAGGAAGUUCAGAGACAGAGGCCCACUCAGGGCCACCCCCUGGCCUGCACCCCUGAAAUGCAAUUUGGAUAAUAUGGAAAAUUACUAGGAAGAAAAAACGCUAUAAUCCCCCCACCUAGAGAUAACCAGGCGUUCUGGUAUAUACCUAUUGAGGACUUUUUUCCCAAGCAAAUACUCAGAAAGAGACUUCCUCCCAAUAGGCAUGAGAUCUUACUCCACGUGCAGUUUGUCUUAUCUUGAUUUUUUUCCAGUAAUCUUUUAAGAGUUUCCCAUGCCAUGUAGUCAUUCUUCAAAAACCCACUUUGAACAGCUGCGUAAUAUUCCGCUGUGGAGGAGUGCCCUGCAGUGUAGAGAAAUGAGUUAUUUACGCUGAAGUCUGUUAUUACAUGGACAUCUUCCCUUUUCUGACCCUGCAAUGACCACACUCAUAGGUGAGUCUCUCUGGAAAUCCUUGACUACCUCCUUAGGGUCCAUUCUUAGAAGUGGAAUUACUGGGUUAGAGGGCAUGAGUGCCUUGAGGGCGGCUGUCUCCCUCUACCUGCAUGCCUGCCAGGGCAAACCCGUGCAUGCUCCCAGGACAGGCCUGGCAGGGCGUGUCUCCCUGCUGCACCCUUGGUACCCUUGGCAGGGCUAACAUUAUCCUCUAAACCAGGUCUUUGCAGCACUUACCCUUUUCAAGGUGCUACUGUACCUCUCCUUUAAGGAG
rnacentral:lncRNA from 10 species